AACGCGAAGAACCUUACCAGCCCUUGACAUGUCCCGUGUGGGUUUCAGAGAUGAGACCCUUCAGUUCGGCUGGCGGGAACACAGGUGCUGCAUGGCUGUCGUCAGCUCGUGUCGUGAGAUGUUGGGUUAAGUCCCGCAACGAGCGCAACCCUCGCCCUUAGUUGCCAUCAUUCAGUUGGGCACUCUAAGGGGACUGCCGGUGAUAAGCCGCGAGGAAGGUGGGGAUGACGUCAAGUCCUCAUGGCCCUUACGGGCUGGGCUACACACGUGCUACAAUGGCGGUGACAGUGGGACGCAAGGGAGCAAUCCUUAGCAAAUCUCAAAAAGCCGUCUCAGUUCGGAUUGGGGUCUGCAACUCGACCCCAUGAAGUUGGAAUCGCUAGUAAUCGCAGAUCAGCACGCUACGGUGAAUACGUUCCCGGGCCUUGUACACACCG
rnacentral:rRNA from 1 species